rnacentral:misc_RNA from 1 species
GGAAGGAUCAUUAACACGUAUCCACGUUAAUAACCCGAGAACUCUUAGGAGAGAGUCCCUUUCCUUUUGGAAAAGGACAAUCUCCUUUGAUUAAUAACUUAAAGAGCGGAUGCUUUACCUGAGUCUCUCAGGUUAAGGUACUUCAAUCUUUAUGUUAUUUGCCUUUAGGGGACAAGUCUUCGGAUGCGACCCCUAAAGGUUACUUGAAACCCCUUUUUUCUAACUUAAAGGCCGUCUCUUUGUAGACCGCUUUUAACCGAAUGCUGUACAACUCUUAGCAACGGAUAUCUUGGUUCUGGCAACGAUGAAGAACGCAGCGAAAUGCGAUACGUAGUGCGAAUUGCAGAAUUCAGUGAAUCAUCAAAUCUUCGAACGCAGAAUGCGCUCUCGGAUACUCCUGGGAGCACGCCUCUUCCAGUGCCUUUCAUAGCUUCGAUUCCGUCCCUCCCCAGGUGGGUGGCUGAUGGAUCGAGGACCAAUGAUGGGAUCAUAAAGUUAGGCUCUACGUUGAGCGAUUAGAGCAAGCCCGCGUGUUUCACACGAUUGUGGUCUCUUUCGCUAAACGAAGCAAGCCCUCCCACGUGAAAUCUUCGGAUAUCACGAUAGGUACAAACGCGCGAAAAAGCAAGCCCGCGUUAAUCAAGUUCUAUGGCGAAUGGCGUUUGGAUUGCUUCAGCUUCCAAACGUUCAGACGCGUCUUGUUAACGAUUGUGGUCUCUAGUAAACGCUAGUAGUACUUAGCUCAUUGGCCUCGAUCUGGACGUCACUAAUGCCUUGGUGCACACGGAGAAAGUGAGGGUGACAUGCUGCAUGUCUCCCUUUAAAUACAUACCUUCAAGAUAACUUAACCAACUUCUUUGUUCAUUAAGAACUUUGAAACCCCACCGAGGAGCUUCCGACGCUAAACGCGUUAGUUGCGGUGGAUAACGUUCACUUAGGCCUUGUGCUUCUGUGAACUUCCAAUCUUCCGUAUACUUUCUAUGGCGAAUGGCGAAGGACUCUGUUGACAAGGUGGAUUAGUAAUCGAACUUAUAUGAACGCUCAUAAAGAUCUUGGUGGUGCUUGCUCGGUUCAAGUAAUGUUCUAAGCCUGAUAGUCAUUUCAGGAUCAACUUUCCAAGGUAAGCGCAAAAAGUAGACUUAUCUGGAGGAAGCCACUCUCUUCGAGGGGUUUUCGGGGUAAUCCUUUCCUAGGCAAAACGCUGGCAAGGAUGGCUUGACUCCAAGUGGAUCUUUGACUUCCCAAGGUGAUGGGUGAGCAUUGGACGGGCCCGACCAAUUAUCUAGGUCCUCAUUCCUUUCUCCGGAAAGGGUGUUGACCUAACUUCUAAGCCUUCACGCUUUUCUCCUCUUUUGAAAAAAUCUUUCUCUUGAGGGAAAUGAAUGAGACUUAGGUAGUUGGAGAGGCUUGACUAGUGUUUCAUUUCACGAAUGUUUAUGGACUGGCCUCUCGGGGCUAGACUACAUUCACUCGUUCUGAUCUAAGGGUCGUUAAAGAACUGUGCGGAGGAGGGUUGUCUGAGUUGGAAUUUUGUCUGGGGAGGACCCUCGAUUUCUCUGAGUCGAGUGUGGUGGAUCUCAGAUAUGUCUACCUAGUAGUUCUUAUUGAGGAAAGUAGUUUCUGACUGUCUAGCAUGGUUUGGAAUAUAACACCUAUGGCCUGGGAUGAAGCGAGAGGACCCGCCGAAUUUAAGCAUAUUAUUAAGCGGAGGAAAAGAAACUAACAAGGAUUCCCCUAGUAACGGCGAGUGAAGCGGGAAAAGCUCAAAAUGAAAAUCGGGUGUCUUUUCGGCAUUCGAGUUGUAAUCUAAAGGCUUGUUUUCUGCGUGUGACCCGGGUAUAACUCUUUUGAAACAAGGGAUCAUAGAGGGUGAAAAUCCCGUCCAUGACCCGGAGUUCGCCGCGUACGAUACAUGUCCAAAGAGUCGAGUAGCUUGGGAUUGCUGCUCAAAAUGGGUGGUAAAUCUCAUCUAAAGCUAAAUAUUGGCCAGAGACCGAUAGCGAACAAGUACCGUGAGGGAAAGAUGAAAAGAACUUUGAAAAGAGAGUUAAAAAGUACUUGAAAUUGCUAAGAGGGAACCUGUGGAAACCAGUCAUUCUCUUUGCUAUACUUACUACCUGCUAUUGGAUGGCAGCGGUGCAUAGUUCCCUCGGUCUAUGCCUGUUGUCGGACAUUUAGUAGGUGGGUCCUGUAGCUUUGAGAGUGUCAGAGUCAGUUCUUCUCGCCGGAGAAAACCAGAGGGAAGGUAGGGUAGGUGGGUUUCUCACUUAUCUGUUAUAGCCCUUUGGCGAUACGGUGGGGGGGACUGAGGCUCCGAUAAGGCACCCCUCCUUGUGGGGGCAAAGUUACCGUCCUCUGUCAUGUUAUUGGAAGCUGCCAACAAAGUUGUCACUUCUAAGACGCGUGCUACUGGGGCGGCUCACUAUUCGUGUCUUCGCGAUUCUGACGAAAUGGUUUUCACUGACCCGUCUGGAAACACGGACCAAGGAGUCUAACAUAUAUGCGAGUAUUUGGGUGGAAAACCCUGAUGCGUAAUGAAAGUGAAGGCAGCUUCGGUUGCUGAGGUAGGAACCUGGGUUUCGACCUGGGGGCACUAUCGACCGAUCUACACUCGUGAUAGAUUUGAGUAAGAGCAUAUCUGUUGGGACCCGAAAGAUGGUGAUCUAUGCCUGAACAGGGUGAAGCCAGGGGAAACUCUGGUGGAGGCUCGAAGCGUUACUGACGUGCAAAUCGUUCGUCUGAUUUGGGUAUAGGGGCGAAAGACUAAUCGAACCAUCUAGUAGCUGGUUCCCUC